AUUGAACGCUGGCGGCAUGCCUUACACAUGCAAGUCGAACGGCAGCACGGGUGCUUGCACCUGGUGGCGAGUGGCGAACGGGUGAGUAAUACAUCGGAACAUGUCCUGUAGUGGGGGAUAGCCCGGCGAAAGCCGGAUUAAUACCGCAUACGAUCUACGGAUGAAAGCGGGGGACCUUCGGGCCUCGCGCUAUAGGGUUGGCCGAUGGCUGAUUAGCUAGUUGGUGGGGUAAAGGCCUACCAAGGCGACGAUCAGUAGCUGGUCUGAGAGGACGACCAGCCACACUGGGACUGAGACACGGCCCAGACUCCUACGGGAGGCAGCAGUGGGGAAUUUUGGACAAUGGGCGAAAGCCUGAUCCAGCAAUGCCGCGUGUGUGAAGAAGGCCUUCGGGUUGUAAAGCACUUUUGUCCGGAAAGAAAUCCUUGGCCCUAAUACGGUCGGGGGAUGACGGUUCCGGAAGAAUAAGCACCGGCUAACUACGUG
rnacentral:rRNA from 1 species